rnacentral:rRNA from 1 species
UACGUAGGGUGCAAGCGUUAAUCGGAAUUACUGGGCGUAAAGCGUGCGCAGGCGGUUCUAUAAGACAGAUGUGAAAUCCCCGGGCUCAACCCGGGAACUGCAUUUGUGACUGUAGAGCUGGAGUACGGUAGAGGGGGAUGGAAUUCCGCGUGUAGCAGUGAAAUGCGUAGAUAUGCGGAGGAACACCGAUGGCGAAGGCAAUCCCCUGGACCUGUACUGACGCUCAUGCACGAAAGCGUGGGGAGCAAACAGG